UAAAAACAAUAUUAAAUGAAAUAAACUAAAUAUAAAGUAAAUUAUACUAAUAUGUUAAAUUUAAAAAUUGUUCCAUAUGAAAAAACAAAAAACAUAUAAAACAUAAAAUCAGAAACAAAUAUAUAAUAGUAUAAAAAUGAUCAUCGAGAUAUAAAUUACGACAAAUCCAAAAAAGAAAAACAUAAAAAACAAUUAUGACAAUAUAUGAAGAGAUAAUGUAAACAAUAGAAAAAUACAACAAUCCGUCCAAAACUCACAAAUCAUUUUCAAAUUUCAGG
rnacentral:lncRNA from 1 species